AACUGACACUGAAACACGAAAGCGUGGGGAUCAAACAGGAUUAGAUACCCUGGUAGUCCACGCCUUAAACGAUGAAUACUAGAUGUUGGUGGUAUCGACUCCAUCAGUAUCGUAGCUAACGCGAUAAGUAUUCCACCUGAGUAGUACGGCCGCAAGGUUGAAACUCAAAGAAAUUGACGGGGACCCGCACAAGCAGCGGAGCAUGUGGUUUAAUUCGAAGAUACGCGAAAAACCUUACCAAGGCUUGACAUCGCUUGAAUAGCCGCGAAAUCGGUGAAGUAGAAGCAAUUUUACAAGCAGACAGAUGGUGCAUGGCUGUCGUCAGCUCGUGUCGUGAGAUGUUCGGUUAAGUCCGUUAACGAGCGCAACCCUUAUCGUUAGUUGCCAUCAUUAAGUUGGGAACCCUAGCGAGACUGCCGUAGUUAAUACGGAGGAAGGUGGGGAUGAGGUCAAGUCAUCAUGCCUCUUACGCCUUGGGCUACACACGUGCUACAAUGGCUACUACAAAGAGCUGCAAUAUAGUAAUAUGGAGCGAAUCUCAAAAAAGUAGUCUCAAUUCGGAUUGUGGGCUGCAACCCGCCCACAUGAAAUCGGAGUUGCUAGUAAUGGCGAAUCAGCAUGUCGCCGUGAAUGCGUUCCCGGGUCUUGUACACACCGCCCGCCAAGCUAUGAGAGCUGAGGGCACCCAAAACCGCUGUGCCGACCGCAAGGAAGCAAGCGUCUAAGGUGAAAUCGGUAAUUGGAGUUAAGGCGUAACAAGGUAGCUGUAGGAGAACCUGCGGCUG
rnacentral:rRNA from 1 species